UGGGUGAUCUGCCCUGCACUUUGGGAUAAGCCUGGGAAACUGGGUCUAAUACCGGAUAUGACUCCUCAUCGCAUGAUCUGAAGUGGAAAGCUCCGGGCGGUGAAGGAUGAGCUCGCGGCCUAUCAGCUUGUUGGUGAGGUAAUAGCUCACCGAAGGCGAUGGACGGGUAGCCGGCCUGAGGAGGGUCGACCGGCCACACGUGGGACUGAGACCGACGGCCCAGACCUACCGG
rnacentral:rRNA from 1 species